rnacentral:lncRNA from 1 species
UAGGAUUUAAUUAAUACUAUUAUUAAAGAAAAUCUGAAAAUAAAUAAAAGUAUAAAAAAAUCUCUCUCCAAUCCACGUCUCUCUACUCGCUAGAGGUCAAAAAAAAAGAGAAAAGUGGAACUGAAAAAGAAUAAAGAGAAAAAGGCAGUGGGGUUCCCACUCACUGAAUACCCUUUCUCUUUCGGCUGGAACAGAAAAGAAAAAAAAAUACAUUAAACUUGCUCUCCCCUGUUCAUCUUCCUUAAUCCAAAUCUACUGCACCCUCUCUUCCGUCUUCGCCCACACCUUCCGUUUCCUCCUUCACCGCACACAACAACCAAACGAACGCCUCCCCGCAUCCAUAUCCAUCUGGCCACUGCCACUUCUUCAUCUCCCUCCGGCUACACCGUCCAUACCCAUCGUCUUCCGCUGUGAACCGCGACCACCACUGAGCGCCAAAACACUUCUCUUGCUGGCCAAAUAAAGAAAAACAAAAAUAAAAUAGGAAACAAAACAAAGAGGAUCUUUCCUCUUCUUCGACGGACCUUUUCUUCUCCACUCGUCGGACCCACCGCGUCAACCUCUAUCACUGCCGCGAGCUCCAAUCGAACUCCGCCUCACAAAUCACAAGAACCUCACUGCGGUUUCCGUCGCGAACCCCCUACAUCACCACGUCACACACCAAAUCUCCACCACGGCCAUCCGCGUCCAGAUCCGACAACCAUGGCGUGCGGCACCGGUAACAUUAAAUUCAUUCGAUAAAAUAUAUUUUCCUUUAUCAUCAUAUUCCCUUUGUUUCGUUCCAAUUAGGAAUAUUAAUGUUACAUGUUAAAAUUUCAUGGUGUUCUUAUUUUUAAAAAUAAACUGAAAAACUCAUAUUCACGGCAUUCUUUAAUUUUGUAUAAACAUGGUAAAGUUUGUCGACUUUGUACAUGUGAUUAGCAUAAACAAUUUUGUAUGGAAAUCUGCAUUAAAUGGAAAAUUGAUGCUAAUAUUGGACUGGUUGUUAAGUGUUGAUAUUAUUAGAAAUUCCACACUAAAAUGACAUUUUGUUUUUUUUUUCACGAUAUUGCAUAAGUUGGAUUUCAAGUAAAUUUCUAAUUUGUGGAAAGCUCAAAGUUAAAAAUUAGUUUUCUAUAUUUUUCCAAUGUUCUUGGUGAAUUGGUUUGUGUUCUAGAUAGGUAGCACGUGAUAAUGUUAAUCAUGAAAUUUUGGCUAUGUUAUAAUUAAUUAUUAAUAUUGUAAUUAUGUUGACAAUUGAUUGCUAAAAAAUGUGUAAUUAUAUGGUUAAUUGGUUGUUGAAACAUUACAUUGCACAUGGAUUUUGACCCGAUUAUGUCGUGGCAUUGUUGAUUUUUGGCAACUCAUUAUGAACUAUAAUAUAAUUUGUUUCUAUUACAUUGCGUUGAAUAGAGAUUUCGAUUUGUGGAUUCGGAAAUUUCAUGCAGAUAUCUCGCUAAAGUCUCAACAAAU